GGCCAAAAAACGGGUGGGCUAUAGCCUUGGUGGGGGACGUGGGCGAAGUUCGUCCGCCGGACUCGGAAUGGCCCCAGACUUUGCGGGCGGCCUCCGUGUGCCAAAAAUAGGCCACGGGCACAGCCGCGCCCAAAAAACAGCCCCCGAAGUCCGGGGUCCCAAGACCCCCCAGCGGAAAAAUGGCCAAAAAACGGGUGGGCUAUAGCCUUGGUGGGGGGCGUGGGCGAAGUUCGUCCGCGGGACUCGGAAUGGCACCAGACUUGGCGGGCGGCCUCCGUGUGCCAAAAAUAGGCCACGGGCACAGCCGCGCCCAAAAAACAGCCCCCGAAGGUCGGGGCGCCAAGACCCCCCAGCGGAAAAAUGGCCAAAAAACGGGUGGGCUAUAGCCUUGGUGGGGGGCGUCGGCGAAGUUCGUCCGCCGGACUCGGAAUGGCCCCAGACUUUGCGGGCGGCCUCCGUGUGCCAAAAAUAGGCCACGGGCACACCCGCGCCCAAAAAUCAGCCCCCGAAGGUCGGGGCGCCAAGACCCCCCAGCGGAAAAAUGGCCAAAAAACGGGAGGGCUAUAGCCUUGGUGGGGGGCGUGGGCGAAGUUCGUCCGCCGGACUCGGAAUGGCCCCAGACUUUGCGGGCGGCCUCCGUGUGCCAAAAAUAGGCCACGGGCACACCCGCGCCCAAAAUUCAGCCCCCGAAGGUCGGGGGCCAAGAGCCCCCAGCGGAAAAAUGGCCAAAAAACGGGUGGGCUAUAGCCUUGGUGGGGGACGUGGGCGAAGUUCGUCCGCCGGACUCGGAAUGGCCCCAGACUUUGCGGGCGGCCUCCGUGUGCCAAAAAUAGGCCACGGACACAGCCGCGUCCAAAAAUCAGCCCCCGAAGGUCGGGGUGCCAAGACCCCCCAGCGGAAAAAUGGCCAAAAAACGGGUGGGCUAUAGCCUUGGUGGGGGGCGUGGGCGAAGUUCGUCCGCCGGACUCGGAAUGGCCCGAGACUUUGCGGGCGGCCUCCAUGUGCCAAAAAUAGGCCACGGGCACAGCCGCGCCCAAAAAUCAGCCCCCGAAGGUCGGGGCGCCAAGACCCCCCAGCGGAAAAAUGGCCAAAAAACGGGUGGGCUAUAGCCUUGGUGGGGGGCGUGGGCGAAGUUCGUCCGCCGGACUCGGAAUGGCCCCAGACUUUGCGGGCGGCCUCCGUGUGCCAAAAAUAGGCCACGGGCACACCCGCGCCCAAAAAUCAGCCCCCAAAGGUCGGGGCGCCAAGACCCCCCAGCGGAAAAAUGGCCAAAAAACGGGUGGGCUAUAGCCUUGGUGGGGGGCGUGGGCGAAGUUCGUCCGCCGGACUCGGAAUGGCCCCAGACUUUGCGGGCGGCCUCCGUGUGCCAAAAAUAGGCCACGGACACACCCGCGCCCAAAAUUAAGCCCCCGAAGGUCGGGGCGCCAAGACCUCACAGCGGAAAAAUGGCCAAAAAACGGGUGGGCUAUAGCCUUGGUGGGGGGCGUGGGCGAAGUUCGUCCGCCGGACUCGGAAUGGCCCCAGACUUUGCGGGCGGCCUCCGUGUGCCAAAAAUAGGCCACGGGCACACCCGCGCCCAAAAAUCAGCCCCCGAAGGUCGGGGCGCCAAGACCCCCCAGCGGAAAAAUGGCCAAAAAACGGGUGGGCUAUAGCCUUGGUGGGGGGCGUGGGCGAAGUUCGUCCGCCGGACUCGGAAUGGCCCCAGACUUUGCGGGCUGCCUCCGUGUGUCAAAAAUAGGCCACGGGCACACCCGCGCCCAAAAUUCAGCCCCCGAAGGUCGGGGCGCCAAGACCCCCCAGCGGAAAAAUGGCCAAAAAACGGGUGGGCUAUAGCCUUGGUGGGGGGCGUGGGCGAAGUUCGUCCGCCGGACUCGGAAUGGCCCCAGACUUUGCGGGCUGCCUCCGUGUGCCAAAAAUAGGCCACGGGCACACCCGCGCCCAAAAUUCAGCCCCCGAAGGUCGGGGCGCCAAGACCCCCCAGCGGAAAAAUGGCCAAAAAUCGGGUGGGCUAUAGCCUUGGUGGGGGGCGUGGGCGAAGUUCGUCCGCCGGACUCGGAAUGGCCCCAGACUUUGCGGGCGGCCUCCGUGUGCCAAAAAUAGGCCACGGGCACACCCGCGCCCAAAAAUCAGCCCCCGAAGGUCGGGGCGCCAAGACCCCCCAGCGGAAAAAUGGCCAAAAAACGGGUGGGCUAUAGCCUUGGUGGGGGGCGUGGGCGAAGUUCGUCCGCCGGACUCGGAAUGGCCCCAGACUUUGCGGGCGGCCUCCGUGUGCCAAAAAUAGGCCACGGGCACACCCGCGCCCAAAAUUCAGCCCCCGAAGGUCGGGGCGCCAAGACCCCCCAGCGGAAAAAUGGCCAAAAAACGGGUGGGCUAUAGCCUUGGUGGGGGGCGUGGGCGAAGCUCGUCCGCCGGACUCGGAAUGGCCCCAGACUUUGCGGGCGGCCUCCGUGUGCCAAAAAUAGGCCACGGGCACACCCGCGCCCAAAAAUCAGCCCCCGAAGGUCGGGGCGCCAAGACCCCCCAGCGGAAAAAUGGCCAAAAAACGGGUGGGCUAUAGCCUUGGUGGGGGGCGUGGGCGAAGUUCGUCCGCCGGACUCGGAAUGGCCCCAGACUUUGCGGGCGGCCUCCGUGUGCCAAAAAUAGGUCACGGGCACACCCGCGCCCAAAAUUCAGCCCCCGAAGGUCGGGGCGCCAAGACCCCCCAGCGGAAAAAUGGCCAAAAAACGGGUGGGCUAUAGCCUUGGUGGGGGGCGUGGGCGAAGUUCGUCCGCCGGACUCGGAAUGGCCCCAGACUUUGCGGGCGGCCUCCGUGUGCCAAAAAUAGGCCACGGGCACACCCGCGCCCAAAAAUCAGCCCCCGAAGGUCGGGGCGCCAAGACCCCCCAGCGGAAAAAUGGCCAAAAAACGGGUGGGCUAUAGCCUUGGUGGGGGGCGUGGGCGAAGUUCGUCCGCCGGACUCGGAAUGGCCCCACACUUUGCCGGCGGCCUCCGUGUGCCAAAAAUAGGCCACGGGCACACCCGCGCCCAAAAAUCAGCCCCCGAAGGUCGGGGCGCCAAGACCCCCCAGCGGAAAAACGGCCAAAAAACGGGUGGGCUAUAGCCUUGGUGGGGGGCGUGGGCGAAGUUCGUCCGCCGGACUCGGAAUGGCCCCAGACUUUGCGAGCGGCCUCCGUGUGCCAAAAAUAGGCCACGGACACAGCCGCGUCCAAAAAUCAGCCCCCGAAGGUCGGGGUGCCAAGACCCCCCAGCGGAAAAAUGGCCAAAAAACGGGUGGGCUAUAGCCUUGGUGGGGGGGGUGGGCGAAGUUCGUCCGCCGGACUCGGAAUGGCCCCAGACUUUGCGGGCGGCCUCCAUGUGCCAAAAAUAGGCCACGGGCACAGCCGCGCCCAAAAAUCAGCCCCCGAAGGUCGGGGCGCCAAGACCCCCCAGCGGAAAAAUGGCCAAAAAACGGGUGGGCUAUAGCCUUGGUGGGGGGCGUGGGCGAAGUUCGUCCGCCGGACUCGGAAUGGCCCCAGACUUUGCGGGCGGCCUCCGUGUGCCAAAAAUAGGCCACGGGCACACCCGCGCCCAAAAAUCAGCCCCCAAAGGUCGGGGCGCCAAGACCCCCCAGCGGAAAAAUGGCCAAAAAACGGGUGGGCUAUUGCCUUGGUGGGGGGCGUGGGCGAAGUUCGUCCGCCGGACUCGGAAUGGCCCCAGACUUUGCGGGCGGCCUCCGUGUGCAAAAAAUAGGCCACGGGCACACCCGCGCCCAAAAUUAAGCCCCCGAAGGUCGGGGCGCCAAGACCCCACAGCGGAAAAAUGGCCAAAAAACGGGUGGGCUAUAGCCUUGGUGGGGGGCGUGGGCGAAGUUCGUCCGCCGGACUCGGAAUGGCCCCAGACUUUGCGGGCGGCCUCCGUGUGCCAAAAAUAGGCCACGGGCACACCCGCGCCCAAAAUUCAGCCCCCGAAGGUCGGGGCGCCAAGACCCCCCAGCGGAAAAAUGGCCAAAAAACGGGUGGGCUAUACCCUUGGUGGGGGGCGUGGGUGAAGUUCGUCCGCCGGACUCGGAAUGGCCCCAGACUUUGCGGGCGGCCUCCGUGUGCCAAAAAUAGGCCACAGGCACACCCGCGCCCAAAAAUCAGCCCCCGAAGGUCAGGGCGCCAAGACCACCCAGCGGAAAAAUGGCCAAAAAACGGGUGGGCUAUAGCCUUGGUGGGGGGCGUGGGCGAAGUUCGUCCGCCGGACUCGGAAUGGCCCCAGACUUUGCGGACGGCCUCCGUGUGCCAAAAAUAGGCCACGGGCACACCCGCGCCCAAAAUUCAGCCCCCGAAGGUCGGGGCGCCAAGACCCCCCAGCGGAAAAAUGCCAAAAAACGGGUGGGCUAUACCCUUGGUGGGGGGCGUGGGUGAAGUUCGUCAUAAGGACUCGGAAUGGCCCCAGACUUUGCGGGCGGCCUCCGUGUGCCAAAAAUAGGCCACGGGCACACCCGCGCCCAAAAUUCAGCCCCCGAAGGUCGGGGCGCCAAGACCCCCCAGCGGAAAAAUGGCCAAAAAACGGGUGGGCUAUACCCUUGGUGGGGGGCGUGGGUGAAGUUCGUCCGCCGGACUCGGAAUGGCCCCAGACUUUGCGGGCGGCCUCCGUGUGCCAAAAAUAGGCCACAGGCACACCCGCGCCCAAAAAUCAGCCCCCGAAGGUCAGGGCGCCAAGACCACCCAGCGGAAAAAUGGCCAAAAAACGGGUGGGCUAUAGCCUUGGUGGGGGGCGUGGGCGAAGUUCGUCCGCCGGACUCGGAAUGGCCCCAGACUUUGCGGACGGCCUCCGUGUGCCAAAAAUAGGCCACGGGCACACCCGCGCCCAAAAUUCAGCCCCCGAAGGUCGGGGCGCCAAGACCCCCCAGCGGAAAAAUGGCCAAAAAACGGGUGGGCUAUAGCGUUGGUGGGGGGCGUGGGCGAAGUUCGUCCGCCGGACUCGGAAUGGCCCCAGACUUUGCGGGCGGCCUCCGUGUGCCAAAAAUAGGCCCCGGGCACACCCGCACCCAAAAAUCAGCCCCCGAAGGUCGGGGCGCCAAGACCCCCCAGCGGAAAAAUGGCCAAAAAACGGGUGGGCUAUAGC
rnacentral:lncRNA from 1 species